GCGAGAAAUUUUUAUACAACCUAAGUAUUUAAAGUUAUGUACUUGAAAUUUGAAGAAUUUGGCGGUGAUUUAGUCUUGUCAAAGGAACCUGUUUUUGAAUCGAUACACCACGAAGAAUCUUACUUAAGCUUGUUGUAGUAUGUAUACCAUCAUUAUUAGGUAAUUUUUAUAGAAUAAAUUACUGUAUAUUUGUUAAUAACGUUAAAUAUAUUAAAUCAAGGUGCAGCUAAUGCUUAAGUUAAAAUGGGUUACAAUAAAAUUUAUUUAAUACGGAAUAUCAAUUUAAACAGUUGAUUAGAAGGAGGAUUUGAUUGUAAAGUAAGUUUAAUAAGCUUAGUUAGAUAUAAGCUCUAAAUCAUGUACACACCGCCCCUACACACACACAAAAA
rnacentral:rRNA from 1 species